ACCAUGACAGCUGAUACAAGCCAAGGCCUAAGAUUAAUGAGCGAAAGGCCUUUGUUUUAACUGCAACGAAAGGUACAUUGUGGCCUUGAUUGACGUCGUUGAACCAUAUAAGGAACCUUUGGAGUUGCAUGACUGUCCACUAGCACCCAAUACCCCUAAAACACUAUAAGCACAGGUGGAUAUGGAAUUUACCAUCCAAUCCAUCAUUGGUCUUGAUUUUCCAUACCACAUGCGGCGGGAAAGGUUGGGCCCAUUCAUGUUUUCAUAGACUCUAAGGCAACAUUCAAUUUCCUCCAUCUAGAGUUGCAAAAUAAUAAAAUAAUAAUAAUAAUUGGCUCUCCCCAUUGGCAUUUCCUUUGCUCAAUAGCUUUAUACAACGUCAUGAGAAAAAAUGGUCACUCAAGGUACGUGCAUAACCUCUUUGUGCAGAUUUAGUGGUAUAACCUCCAUUUUUGAAUUGCUUGAAGUAGUUGGCUUUGAUAUCGUCUUAGGGGCAUAAUGGCUAGAAACAUUGGGC
rnacentral:lncRNA from 1 species